rnacentral:lncRNA from 1 species
UUCGUUACCCAUGAUUCUUUAUUCCCUAGUUGAGUUGGGUUCUUGACUCUUCAUCUUACAAACACCACAAAAGUCUCCACCUUCGGCUUGAACCAUCACAAAGCUUACCGAAAUCCUCACGAAUGAUCCAACUAACAAAUCUCAUUAAAUCAAGGUUUGUUUUUGAACCGAUCUAACGAAAAUCAUAACAUGCAGAACAUAUGUCAAGUCACUACAUCGGAUUCGGAACCAAAAAUUUAUUAAACGGGUUUUCCAGCGGCGGCAACGGUGAGUCGCCGGAGGAUUUUUUUUGUUAGGCAUGGUACAGGGUAGCAAUUCUCCAAGGAAGACCAAAGUUUUUAUGUUAGGCAUGGUACACAACACCUAUGAAAACUGAGCUUGAAUUGUAGUUGUUGUUGGCAAAGGCUACGAUUUGGUGCCUUUACUAUGUUGCUGAUGAAUUCUAGGUCUAUAAAUCAAAGUUUUUGAUUAUCAGAGGUUGGAUGAUAUUGGAAUAUGGACAAUAAAUCAAGGAUGGGUAGGAGAAUGUUGCAUCAAGGAACGAAAUCUCACGCCAGAGCGCACCGACAUCCUUGCGGUAAUGCGGCUUUUUGUGCUGCUCAAUCAUAA